rnacentral:rRNA from 1 species
GACGAACGCUGGCGGCGUGCUUAACACAUGCAAGUCGAACGGAAAGGCCCUGCUUUUGUGGGGUGCUCGAGUGGCGAACGGGUGAGUAACACGUGAGUAACCUGCCCUUAACUUUGGGAUAACUUCAGGAAACUGGGGCUAAUACCGGAUAGGAGCUCCUGCUGCAUGGUGUGGGAUGGAAAGUGUCGGUGUUGGGGGAUGUACUCGCGGCUUAUCCGCUUGUUGGUGGGGUAGUGGCUUUCCAAGGCUUUGACGGGUAGCCGGCCUGAGAGGGUGACCGGACACAAUGCGACUGAGAGACGGCCCAGACGGCAACGGGAGGCAAAAGUGGGAAAUAUUGCACAACGGGCGGGAGCCUGAUGCGGCAACGCCGGGUGCGGGAUAACCGCCUUUGGGUGGUAAACCAAUUUCGCCUGUGACGAACAGUGAGUGACGGUACUGGAUAAAGAAGCACCGGCUAACUACGUG